rnacentral:rRNA from 1 species
UACGUAGGCAGCGAGCGUUGUUCGGAGUUACUGGGCGUAAAGAGUGCGUAGGCGGUUUUCUAAGUUUGGUGUGAAAUCUCCCGGCUUAACCGGGAGGGUGCGCCGAAGACUGGAAGGCUUGAGUAUGGGAGAGGUAAGCGGAAUUCCUGGUGUAGCGGUGAAAUGCGUAGAUAUCAGGAGGAACACCUGCGGUGUAGACGGCUUACUGGACCAUAACUGACGCUGAGGCACGAAAGCGUGGGUAGCAAACAGG